UGGGGAAUUUUGGACAAUGGGGGCAACCCUGAUCCAGCAAUGCCGCGUGUGUGAAGAAGGCCUUCGGGUUGUAAAGCACUUUUGUCCGGCAAGAAAACUUCGGGGCUAAUACCCCUGGAGGAUGACGGUACCGGCAGAAUAAGCACCGGCUAACUACGUGCCAGCAGCCGCUGUAAUACGUAGGGUGCGAGCGUUAAUCGGAAUUACUGGGCGUAAAGCGUGCGCAGGCGGUGCUGUAAGACCGAUGUGAAAUCCCCGGGCUUAACCUGGGAACUGCAUUGGUGACUGCAGCGCUGGAGUAUGGCAGAGGGGGGUGGAAUUCCACGUGUAGCAGAGAAAUGCGUAGAGAUGUGGAGGAACACCGAUGGCGAAGGCAGCCCCCUGGGCCAAUACUGACGCUCAUGCACGAAAGCGUGGGGAGCAAACAGG
rnacentral:rRNA from 1 species